AUUGAACGCUGGCGGCAGGCCUAACACAUGCAAGUCGAGCGGAUGAAGGGAGCUUGCUCCUGGAUUCAGCGGCGGACGGGUGAGUAAUGCCUAGGAAUCUGCCUGGUAGUGGGGGAUAACGUCCGGAAACGGGCGCUAAUACCGCAUACGUCCUGAGGGAGAAAGUGGGGGAUCUUCGGACCUCACGCUAUCAGAUGAGCCUAGGUCGGAUUAGCUAGUUGGUGGGGUAAAGGCCUACCAAGGCGACGAUCCGUAACUGGUCUGAGAGGAUGAUCAGUCACACUGGAACUGAGACACGGUCCAGACUCCUACGGGAGGCAGCAGUGGGGAAUAUUGGACAAUGGGCGAAAGCCUGAUCCAGCCAUGCCGCGUGUGUGAAGAAGGUCUUCGGAUUGUAAAGCACUUUAAGUCGGGAGGAAGGGCAGUAAGUUAAUACCUUGCUGUUUUGACGUUACCGACAGAAUAAGCACCGGCUAACUUCGUG
rnacentral:rRNA from 1 species